rnacentral:misc_RNA from 1 species
GAUGAAGAACGUAGCGAAAUGCGAUAAGUAAUGUGAAUUGCAGAAUCCAGUGAAUCAUCGAAUCUUUGAACGCACAUUGCGCCCGCCAGCAUUCUGGCGGGCAUGCCUGUUCGAGCGUCAUUUCAACCCUCGACCUCCCUUUGGGGAAGUCGGCGUUGGGGACCGGUAGCACACCGCCGGCCCUGAAAUGGAGUGGCGGCCCGUCCGCGGCGACCUCUGCGUAGUAAUCCAACUCGCACCGGAACCCCGACGCGGCCACGCCGUAAAACACCCAACUUCUGAACGUUGACCUCGAAUCAGGUAGGACUACCCGCUGAACUUAAGCAUAUCAAUAAGCGGAGGA